GACAGAGGGUGCAAACGUUGUUCGGAAUUACUGGGCGUAAAGCGCGUGUAGGCGGCUAUGCAAGUCGGAUGUGAAAGCCCUCGGCUCAACCGGGGAACUGCACCCGAUACUGGUUGGCUAGAGUCCGGGAGGGGGUAGCGGAAUUCCCAGUGUAGCGGUGAAAUGCGUAGAUAUUGGGAAGAACACCGAUUGCGAAGGCAGCUCACUAAGCAGACAUUGACGCUGAGGCACGAAAGCGUGGGGAUCAAACAGG
rnacentral:rRNA from 1 species